CAGUUGGUAGCUCGCUGGUAGAAUGCAUUCUUUGUGUGUAUGACGUCCUUGGUUCGAAUUCCAGCUGAUUUC